UACGGAGGGAGCUAGCGUUGUUCGGAAUUACUGGGCGUAAAGCGCACGUAGGCGGCUUUGUAAGUUAGAGGUGAAAGCCCGGGGCUCAACUCCGGAACUGCCUUUAAGACUGCAUCGCUUGAAUCCAGGAGAGGUCAGUGGAAUUCCGAGUGUAGAGGUGAAAUUCGUAGAUAUUCGGAAGAACACCAGUGGCGAAGGCGGCUGACUGGACAUGUAUUGACGCUGAGGUGCGAAAGCGUGGGGAGCAAACAGG
rnacentral:rRNA from 1 species